rnacentral:rRNA from 1 species
UACCAGCACCCCGAGUGGUCGGGACGUUAUUGGGCCUAAAGCAUCCGUAGCCGGCCUUACAAGUCCUCCGUUAAAUCCAGCUGCUUAACAGAUGGGCUGCGGAGGAUACUAUAAGACUAGGAGGCAGGGAGAGGCAAGCGGUACUCAGUGGGUAGGGGUAAAAUCCGUUGAUCCAUUGAAGACCACCAGUGGCGAAGGCGGCUUGCCAGAAUGCGCUCGACGGUGAGGGAUGAAAGCUGGGGGAGCAAACCGGG